rnacentral:rRNA from 1 species
AUACGGAGGGGGUUAGCGUUGUUCGGAAUCACUGGGCGUAAAGCGCGCGCAGGCGGUCUUUUAAGUUGGAUGUGAAAGCCUACAGCUCAACUGUAGAACUGCAUCCAAAACUAUUAGACUAGAGUCUGGGAGGGGAAGAUGGAAUUAGUAGUGUAGGGGUAAAAUCCGUAGAGAUAACUAGGAAUACCAAAAGCGAAGGCGAUCUUCUGGAACAGUACUGACGCUGAGGCGCGAAAGCGUGGGGAGCAAACAGGAUUAGAUACCCCAGUAGUCC